GGCCCCGCGGAGGGCCCCGCUCCUCGGGCGCUGAUAGGGCGGCGGCGGGAAGGGGCGGGGCUUCGCGUGCCCCCGCCGCUUCCUUUUGCCGCGGCCGCGCGCGCCCUGACCGUUAGGCGGCCGUUAACGGCCGGCAGCGCCGUGAGGCGAGGGGAGGUUGGGGCGGGCCUCCGCGGGGCAGCGCCCAGUGAGGCAGCGGGGCUGUGCGGGAGCGUGCCGCCGUGUGCCGCCUCUGCCCCGCAGCGCCCUCGCCAGUACCUGGGGUGCUGUCAGAAGAUCCGUCUCUGAGCAGCAUCAGUAGAAAAAAAUCCUGUAUGGAUUCAGAGGUUAAAAAGACAUGUGACGGACAGACUGGGACAAGAUUGAAUCUUACACCUGUGGCAGAUGGAUUAGUUCCUGAAUUUAUCUGCUGGUGUUCUGUUUUCUACCUCGGCAGAAUUCCUUACUGCAGUAACUUAUUAACAACACUGCCAAAACUUACAAACACGUAGUUAGAUGUCUGCAUUUUAAUGCAUAAAAUGCUUGUAGCUGUAGCUGAGUACUAUAAAAUGACAAUAUAGCAGGUAACUUUAAAAAAUCUAGGAUUUCUCUUUUGUGGUGUGUAAGGUAGGUAACUUUUUAAUAAGCUUAGAAGCUUUUGAACUUGAACAGUAUGGUAAAUAUGUGGAUUAAAGCAACUUCUAAAUUGUCUGCUCAAGCUUCACUGUGACCUCUUAAUGCUUAUUAAAUAUUUAUAAAUUUAUUGAUAAUAUCCUAAAAUCUGCCUUUAAAAUAUUCUCUUACUAAAUACAGUGUUUUUAUGCUAGAACAGUGAUGUUAAAUUUAUAGCUAUGUAAAUUAUGAAUUUCUACUGUUUUUUUUUUCUGAAAUUUUAAGAGACUCUGCUAUAUUUAAUUUAGUUAAAAUUGAUAUUUUUUCCAGGGGAUGAAAUUGUCCCAACUGCUGUAAAAGUUUAAGGCACUUAUUUCACAUCAGUUAAAAUGUAAAUUCACAUGAUGUUUAUUAGUGUAAAAAGUGAACUUAAGUCUGCUCAGGUGAUAGAAGACUAAUAAAAGUUAAGUUCCUGGAAACUUUGUUAGGGUCUUCUCAGUACAUACUGAACUUCACUAUAGGUCUGCAUCUGCUACAUGUUUCCAAGUAUCGGAAUCAUAAAUUAAGCCCUACUGUAGAUUAUUUACUGGGUCAAGCUUAUAUAGCAUACUAAAUUACUUCCUUUUUUAUCAUGCAUUUAAUUUUAUAAGCAUUAACUAGUAUUUUUACUAGUAAAAUUAUAGAGUAUUCCUUUGAAAUUUAGGUAUUUUAAACUAAGAAAAAUCUGAAAUCAUUUUUGUUGUGCUAGUGUUUAGUGUUGUAGUUACUGCAUAAACCAUACUGUUCAAAGUCA
rnacentral:lncRNA from 1 species